rnacentral:rRNA from 1 species
GAUGAACGCUGGCGGCGUGCCUAAUACAUGCAAGUCGAGCGAACGGACGAGAAGCUUGCUUCUCUGAUGUUAGCGGCGGACGGGUGAGUAACAUGUGGAUAGCCUACCUAUAAGACUGGGAUAACUUCGGGAAACCGUAGCUAAUACCGGAUAAUAUUUUGAACCGCAUGGUUCAAAAGUGAAAGACGGUCUUGCCGUCACUUAUAGAUGGAUCCGCGCUGCAUUAGCUAGUUGGUAAGGUAACGGCUUACCAAGGCAACGAUGCAUAGCCGACCUGAGAGGGUGAUCGGCCACACUGGAACUGAGACACGGUCCAGACUCCUACGGGAGGCAGCAGUAGGGAAUCUUCCGCAAUGGGCGAAAGCCUGACGGAGCAACGCCGCGUGAGUGAUGAAGGUCUUCGGAUCGUAAAACUCUGUUAUUAGGGAAGAACAUAUGUGUAAGUAACUGUGCACAUCUUGACGGUACCUAAUCAGAAAGCCACGGCUAACUACGUG